rnacentral:rRNA from 1 species
GUAGGUGGCAAGCGUUGUCCGGAAUUAUUGGGCGUAAAGCGCGCGCAGGCGGUUCUUUAAGUCUGAUGUGAAAGCCCACGGCUCAACCGUGGAGGGUCAUUGGAAACUGGAGAACUUGAGUACAGAAGAGGAAAGCGGAAUUCCACGUGUAGCGGUGAAAUGCGUAGAGAUGUGGAGGAACACCAGUGGCGAAGGCGGCUUUCUGGUCUGUAACUGACGCUGAGGCGCGAAAGCGUGGGGAGCAAACAGGAUUAGAUACCCUGGUAGUCCACGCCGUAAACGAUGAGUGCUAAGUGUUAGGGGGUUUUCCGCCCCCCUUAGCGCUGCAGCUAACGCAUUAAGCACUCCGCCUGGGAGUACGGCCGCAAGGCUG